UACAGAGGUCUCAAGCGUUGUUCGGAUUCAUUGGGCGUAAAGGGUGCGUAGGUGGCGCGCUAAGUCAGGUGUGAAAUUUCGGAGCUUAACUCCAAAACUGCAUUUGAUACUGGCGUGCUUGAGGACUGGAGAGGAGACUGGAAUUCAUGGUGUAGCAGUGAAAUGCGUAGAGAUCAUGAGGAAGACCAGUGGCGAAGGCGGGUCUCUGGACAGUUCCUGACACUGAGGCACGAAGGCCAGGGGAGCAAACGGG
rnacentral:rRNA from 1 species